UAAAUGUACUUGGUUACGUUCCACCACUGCUCCUCACAAACACACAAAUGCACAUAAACUGAUAUUUUCCAAAAACUGGGGGCGACCCAACACAUGCACUAAUCUGUUCUUGGCACAAAAAUGCGUUUUUCUGUUUUCUUGUGCAAAUGUAAAUAUUUUUCAAAUGCAGCAGUGGGAUGUGAAACCCUCUGUCCCCAAAAAAGAAGAAAAGACUCAGCAGAAUGACUCAUCUGAGUUUCAUCAUGCAGGCUGGAUGGGUUCAGAUAGUCCAGCUUUUCUCUGGCGGGAAAUCCACAUCCCAAAUGCUUAGAAGAAGUGUCUUUAUGUUGUGAGUGUGUUGCUCUGAGAUGGUAUAUAAUAGCCCUGAGGCACUAGAGGAGGCGUGAAACUGUCACUGUGAAGGUGCCAAACUGCUGAGCGGAGCAGAGGCAUCUGUGAGAGAGGAGAGGAGGAGAGACGAGAUGAGACGAGACAGGAGGAGGAGAGGACAGGAGACCUGUCAGCACCGUGGGAGGCUCGUGCCAUCACUGAUUAACAUCUUCAUAUUCAAAGUUACAUUACAGUCGCCGGCUGCUGCACUGAAAACACAGGAUGUGCUCUGGGUGCAGACGAGAUGGCACACCAAAAAGCCAAUUAACUCACAACCAGAUUGAGUGCCAUGCCUGCAGGCGCCUGCUGCACCAACACGCAGGAGACACGCAGCACCGCGGAGGAGCCAGCAGGGGGCAGCGUUUAGAUGCACCAGUCAGAGGAGAUGGACAAACGGACAGAGAGGAGGAGCGUUUCCGCAGCAGCAGCAGUAUAACUCCAUGUAACACCUCCUGCAUGCAUGAUUUUCCUCACCUUUUUCCUUAAGGUUCCCAACAUGGGGGUCCUGACCACAUUAAGGGGUCACCGAAGCUUAACAGGGGACAGGGGACAGGGGACAGGGGCCAUCACUUCAGGAGUGGGAACAGAUUGUGCAGGAUAAAGCACAAGACUUUUAUUGAGUGAUUUAUCGAUCCGUGUGUCAUCCGUUUAUUCAAAUAUUCAAUUCUGACUGGCAAACUAAAAAAACUACAAAACGA